UAUCAUUUCCUAGCCAUUAUACGGAUAUAUUUAUUAUAUCUUAUGGUAUUGGGUUUUGAUGCAAGCUUCUUGAUCAAAGUAUCACGAGUUUGUUAUAUAAUCGCAAACAAAUUCUUUAAUAAAACGAUGCAUUUAUGUAUUUUUGAUUUGAAAAUUUGGUAUAACUCCAAUUACUCAGGUAUGAUCCAAUUCAAGGACAUUGCCAGGUAGGGAGUUUGACUGGGGCGGUACAUCUCUCAAAUAAUAACGGAGGUGUCCCAAGGCCAGCUCAGUGCGGACAGAAACCACACAUAGAGCAAAAGGGCAAAUGCUGACUUGAUCUCGGUGUUCAGUACACACAGGGACAGCAAAAGCUCGGCCUAUCGAUCCUUUUGGUUUAAAGAGUUUUUAACAAGAGGUGUCAGAAAAGUUACCAUAGGGAUAACUGGCUUGUGGCGGCCAAGCGUUCAUAGCGACGUCGCUUUUUGAUCCUUCGAUGUCGGCUCUUCCUAUCAUUGUGAAGCAAAAUUCACCAAGCGUUGGAUUGUUCACCCAUGCAAGGGAACGUGAGCUGGGUUUAGACCGUCGUGAGACAGGUUAGUUUUACCCUACUAAUGACAAAACGUUGUUGCGACAGCAUUCCUGCGUAGUACGAGAGGAACCGCAGGUACGGACCAAUGGCACAAUACUUGUUCGAGCGAACAGUGGUAUGACGCUACGUCCGUUGGAUUAUGCCUGAACGCCUCUAAGGUCGUAUCCGUGCUGGACUGCAAUGAUAAAUAAGGGGCAAUUUGCAUUGUAUGGCUUCUAAACCAUUAAAAGUUUUUAAUUUAUUUUAUUAACGACAAUGGGAUGUGAUGCCAAUGUUAUUUAUAACAUAGUAAAUUGGGAGGAUCUUCGAUCACCUGAUGCCGCGCUAGUUAUAUUUUAAAACAUUAUUUAAUACAAUGACAAAGCCUAGAAUCAAUUGUAAACGACUUUUGUGACAGGCAAGGUGUUGUAAGUGGUUGAGCAGCUGCCAUACUGCGAUCCACUGAAGCUUAUUCUUUGCUUGAUGAUUCGA
rfam:Drosophila sechellia strain Rob3c scaffold_11643 genomic scaffold, whole genome shotgun sequence.